ensembl:lncRNA
UUUCUGGAGAUCACUUCCUGGUGAAGCUUUCUCCUGUGAACCUAGAGUCUUCUGAUAAUAGUUCACAGGUGCCACAUCCACGAGCGGAGACUGGAAAAACAAUCCUAAUUUUUGUGAGAGGCUUUCUUCCCUUUCUAGCCUAAGUGCGAAUGAAAAGGAAUGCUGAUAAACAAAAGCAUAAAAGGAGCCAUAUUGUACAGCACAAGGCAGCCCUGGAAAGAAGUUUAGUAUUCUGGGAAUAUAUGGCACUAAAGUACUUGUCAGUGUUGCAGUAUUUUGACACAUAAGUGGGACACAUCUGAAACCUUAUCUUUGCCCUCCACUGCCUAGUGCAAAGCAUUGGCACGGUGACAGAAUUCAUCUUGCUCAGGAGUCAAGAUGUUACAAGAGCCAUCUUCAGCAAAAAAAAGGGAGAAAAGACAGAAGUACUGCCUUUUUUUUGAGUCUCACAGCCCUGGGUUGGCAAUUGCAGCGUCUAUACUUGUGACAAGCCUGAGAGAUUUUGUCUCAGCUCAAAAAAUGUACAAUUUGUGACCUUGGUCUCUGGGGAAAUGUCAAGAAGCACUGAAUGAAGAGGAUACUUUCAUUAGCCUUUGGGAUGUUGCCAGCGCUCCCAAACUGUUGUCAGCUCUGCCGCUGCUCAUAAGAUUUUCCCAUCUGUGUAAUCAGUUGUCAAGAUAUAUCUUUUUUGCUUCCAGAAGGUAUUCAUUCUGCCUAUACCUGAUUGCUGUUUUUCCUGUGUGGGGUUGUUUUCAUGUCUGAAAUUCCAGUGGGAAUUUACUGUAUUUUCAGCUCAUCAUUUCAAUUGCAUCUGUUUUGUUAUUGCUGAUGGUAGUGCUGUUUCUGGUUGGUCCUGGUGAAAUUAGUGGUUCUGAAUGGUGUUGCAUUAGCAGCCUCUAUACUGACGUCUUUCCAAUGGAGCAGAUACAGGACCUGUGUAGGCUUUACUAAAGGUCUCAGCACGACUGAGAGCAGCAUACACCCUUGGUUGCAUCUUUGCAACAACUAAGAAUGAAGGAGCCUAUUACAAGUGCAAACACUGUUGAUAACAUGUGCUGUAGGCUGAUCCACCACAAACGGCCUAACAGAAGCCCAUUUCACAGCUCACCCAGCAGUGGGAUGAGAGUCCGUUUGUGGCUGGAGCUCUCUGAGUGCUUCCUGAGGAAGGCAAAGGAAAAUUUUGGUAGGGAGAUUUGGAUGAGAUGGCGGUGGCUGGUUGCAUACUAUGAAGAAGCCUUGACCCAGCUAACUGAUUUAUUCAGACUUGCCUCAGCUCUUGG